rnacentral:rRNA from 1 species
CCUACGGGCGGCAGCAGUGGGGAAUAUUGCACAAUGGGGGGAACCCUGAUGCAGCAACGCCGCGUGGGUGAAGAAGUACUUCGGUAUGUAAAGCCCUGUCAGUAGGGAAGAAAAUGACGGCACCUGACCAAGAAGCUCCGGCUAACUACGUGCCAGCAGCCGCGGUAAUACGUAGGGGGCAAGCGUUAUCCGGAUUUACUGGGUGUAAAGGGAGCGUAGACGGCAAGGCAAGUCUGGAGUGAAAGCCCGUGGCUCAACCACGGGACUGCUUUGGAAACUGUGUUGCUGGAGUGCAGGAGGGGUAAGCGGAAUUCGUGGUGUAGCGGUGAAAUGCGUAGAUAUUAGGAGGAACACCGGUGGCGAAGGCGGCUUACUGGACUGUAACUGACGUUGAGGCUCGAAGGCGUGGGGAGCAAACAGGAUUAGAUACCCUAGUAGUC